AACCCCACCCGCAUCCGCGUUCGAGCAGGGACUACAUUUCCCGAGGGGCCUCGGCGGCGGCGGCGGCGGGCGCGGCAACGUCCCCCCGGAAGUGGAGCCUGGGACUUCCACUCGUGCGUGAGGCGAGCGGAGCCGGAGACUAGACCGGAGGCCGAACUUGGGAUCUGACAAGAUGGCCGGGCUGCCCCGCAGGAUUAUCAAGGAAACCCAGCGUUUGCUGGCAGAACCAGUUCCCGGCAUUAAAGCAGAACCAGAUGAGAGCAACGCCCGUUAUUUUCAUGUGGUCAUUGCUGGCCCCCAGGAUUCCCCCUUUGAGGGAGGGACUUUUAAACUUGAACUAUUCCUUCCAGAAGAAUACCCAAUGGCAGCACCUAAAGUACGUUUCAUGACCAAAAUUUAUCAUCCUAAUGUAGACAAGUUGGGAAGAAUAUGUUUAGAUAUUUUGAAAGAUAAGUGGUCCCCAGCACUGCAGAUUCGCACAGUUCUGCUAUCGAUCCAGGCUUUGUUAAGUGCUCCCAAUCCAGAUGACCCAUUAGCAAAUGAUGUAGCGGAGCAAUGGAAGACCAACGAAGCCCAAGCCAUAGAAACAGAUCUUCACGCUCCAUCUUAUGACCUACUUACUACGUGACCCCCAAGUUUAAAGACAACACAUAAUUGGGAGAUCUUGGACUCUUGUGUAACCACGCCUAAUUUAACAAAUACUGAGUGUCUACUAUUCAUCUAGCAAAUACACCAAGCUAGAGCAUGGACUAGGCUAUAUGCCAUGAAUAAUAUUUAAAUCGAUCUCAUCAUCAGGUGUGCAUCACUUCUCCUGUUCUGCCAAGACUUCUUCCUUUUUUGUUUGCAUUUAAUGGACACAGUCUUAGAAACAUUACAGAAUAAAAGCCCAGACAUCUUCAGUCCUUUGGUGAUUAAAUGCACAUUAGCAAAUCUAUGUCUUGUCCUGAUUCACUGUUAUAAAGCAUGAGCAGAGGCUAGAAGUACCAUCUGGACUGUUGUGAAACGUUUAAAAGCAGUGACUCCUCUCUGCUUUUAUUCAUUUCUCCCCAUCAUGGUUUAAGUAUAAAGCACUGUGAAUGAAGGUAGUCAGGGUUAGCUGCCGGGGUGUGGGUGUUUUCUUUUUUUUGAGGGGGUAAGUAGUUUAAUUUUAAUUUUAUGGGCUCCUUUCCCCCUUUUUAUGGUGAUCUAAUUGCAUUGGUUAAAUGCAGCUAACCAGUUCUUUAGAAUAUGCUCUCUAGCCAAGUCUAACUUCAUUUAGACGCUGUAGGUGGACAAGCUUGAUUGUUUGAACCAAAAUGGGAACAUUAAACAAACACCAUGGCCCUCACAAAUAACAUUGUGACUUUGCUGUCAGAUGUAGAAUUCCCCCUUCAAGAAAAGCUUGUGACCAUUUGUAUGGCUUGUCUGGAAACUUCUGUAAAUCUUAUGUUUUAGUAAAAUAUUUUUUGUUAUUCUA